AUGCAAGUCGAACGGAGCUUAGAGAGCUUGCUUUUUAAGCUUAGUGGCGAACGGGUGAGUAACGCGUGAGUAACCUGCCCUAGAGUGGGGGACAACAGUUGGAAACGACUGCUAAUACCGCAUAAGCCCACGGUACCGCAUGAUACUGAGGGAAAAGGAUUUAUUCGCUUUAGGAUGGACUCGCGUCCAAUUAGCUAGUUGGUGAGGUAACGGCCCACCAAGGCGACGAUUGGUAGCCGGACUGAGAGGUUGAACGGCCACAUUGGGACUGAGACACGGCCCAGACUCCUACGGGAGGCAGCAGUGGGGGAUAUUGCACAAUGGGGGAAACCCUGAUGCAGCGACGCCGCGUGGAGGAAGAAGGUUUUCGGAUUGUAAACUCCUGUCGUUAGGGACGAUAAUGACGGUACCUAACAAGAAAGCACCGGCUAACUACGUGCCAGCAGCCGCGGUAAAACGUAGGGUGCAAGCGUUGUCCGGAAUUACUGGGUGUAAAGGGAGCGCAGGCGGGAAGGCAAGUUGGAAGUGAAAACCAUGGGCUCAACCCAUGAAUUGCUUUCAAAACUGUUUUUCUUGAGUAGUGCAGAGGUAGAUGGAAUUCCCGGUGUAGCGGUGGAAUGCGUAGAUAUCGGGAGGAACACCAGUGGCGAAGGCGGUCUACUGGGCACCAACUGACGCUGAGGCUCGAAAGCAUGGGUAGCAAACAGGAUUAGAUACCCUGGUAGUCCAUGCCGUAAACGAUGAUUACUAGGUGUUGGGGGAUUGACCCCCUCAGUGCCGCAGUUAACACAAUAAGUAAUCCACCUGGGGAGUACGACCGCA
rnacentral:rRNA from 1 species